rnacentral:tRNA from 2 species
CCGUCGACUUUCUAAAUCGUGAGGGUUCAAGUCCCUCUAUCCCCA